UUCUCCGACAUGGAAUUAUAUUUUGCCACAAUUCAAAAUUAUGUCCUUAAAUAAAAGCAUAAAACAGUUCACAUAAAUCAUCAUUACCAAUAAAUAGAGUUGACAAGAUUGUUUCUGCAAUCAGAAAAUAUCUAAAGACUCACGAAAAUGACUGACUUAUUCUUGCUGUUCGUCACUGCUGCUGUGUUGCUGUAUUAGUAGAAAUAACCACUUCCAUUAUCAUCACAACAUAUAAAAAGAGAUGAUCAGAUUUCUUUUGCAAUCAGAAAUCGACAGAAGACUCGCAGAAAAUGAAGUACUUAGUAUUGCUCUUGGUCAUUGUUGCUGUAGUAGGAGGUUCCGACAGUGGUGAAAUGUGUGACCCGCCGAAUUGCGGAGAAAAUUGCGAUAUAUAUUUGUCCAAAGACGGAGGAUGUCCAUAUUGCGUUUGCAACAUUUCACAACCUAAACCUAAAGAGAUAUAGUGUAGUUUACCACUCUGCGGAAAUUGCAGGAUCGACUAUACCUCCAAACCAUGUCCUACUUGCAAGUGUACAUAAUUUUAAGUAUUGAUACUGAUACCAGUAUUGAUACGUUUAAGAACUUCAAGUAAACCUCACAAUUUCCAACGACUCUACCACAUUUUAUUGUCCAGCAUUUCGAUGUACAAUAAAUACUAUGAAUAAAGUUAUGAACUUCCAAUUUU